rnacentral:rRNA from 1 species
UACAGAGGCCUCAAGCGUUGUUCGGAUUCAUUGGGCGUAAAGGGUGUGUAGGUGGCGCGCUAAGUCGGGUGUGAAAUUUCGGAGCUUAACUCCGAAACUGCAUUCGAUACUGGCGUGCUUGAGGACUGGAGAGGAGACUGGAAUUCAUGGUGUAGCAGUGAAAUGCGUAGAGAUCAGGAAGAACAUCGGUGGCGAAGGCGCUCUGCUGGACCAUAACUGACACUCAGGGACGAAAGCUAGGGGAGCGAAUGGG